CAGUGGUGAAAAAUAGGAAAACAACCACAACGAAAUCUGACAAAGUUACUGCCACGAGAUCUAAAAGGGGAUGAUGAGCGUGUUGUUAGUCUCAACUAUUAGUGUCUCAUGACCCAUUAAGAGAUGAAAAUUUUGCUACUAUGUCGUGGUUUGCUCGCUAAACAUCACAAAUAUGAGUUUAGCAUCCCGAAAGGGUCACAUAAUCUA
rnacentral:lncRNA from 1 species